AAAAAGAAGAGAUACGCAGACGCUUAUCCCUUCGCUCUCUCCCCACUACCCCCCAUUCUAUGGUGGCCUCCGCCUGUUCUCCCCGCUGCCUGCUCUCCUCCGCACAUCGCGCCGUCGCACGACGCCUCCUCUCUGCUGCCACGAUGUCGCCCGACGCCUCCUCCUCCACCCCUCUGCCUCGCCCCGUCGCCUCCUCACCGCAUGACGGCCUCGCCUCGACAGCAACCCCGCCGGUCUUCCCUAGAUAAACUCUGCCGUUGCCAUCCCCAUGUCCUAGCGCAGAUCUAGACGGGAGCUAGAGGGGCAUGCUGGACAGGAUGCGGGAGCGGGCAUAUCAUAGCGGACCGAGAUCAAGUGCGUCUACGUGCCCGCUGUCAUUGUUGGCCCCCGUGCUUGGCUCCCACACUCGCUCCGGGUAGACGCUCGCAGCUCGCCGACUACUCGGCUGCUCCAGGUACUUGACGGACUCAGGUAGUCGCAAUUGGAUGUCAGAUUCUUAAUCAGUACUCAUACUUUUGUGUACCUAUCAUUUAUCAAUUGAAGUGGAAAUGAAAUUCUAGUCUUAUUUUACUAAAUUGUGAGAUUCAGGAUCUGGUUGACAUUUUGAGAGUUUUUACCAUUUAGGUUUCUGGUAACGCACAUCAGGAAUGCAUACUUUAAUUUAUUUUAAGUGUGUACCUAUCAUUUGUUGUGUUUUAACAUAUCUUGCCACUACUCCGUAGUUAAAGCACAACGUGAGGUUGCAGCAGAUGCUUGAGGAAUGCAGGGGCUAAUGAUAGUACUCAUCAACCAAAAUUACCGGGCGUUGUCAACCAUGCUUUGAACUUUUGGAGAUCAAGUUGUACGGUUGUACCAUGAAGAUUUUUGAUGCAGUUUAAGGAUUCAAGUGGCGAUUGCAACCCAAAACACAAAGAAUCUGCUACCAGAGGCUUCAUUAUGCACACCUUUUAUUUUUACAAAAUGGAGUCUGAUCUGCUGUCGUCACAUCAAUAGGUAUGCCUACAUCACCAAUGUUUGUACAGUGACAUUUAUUCACACACAAAUGAAGAUAUUCUAAGGUUAGAACGAACAUCACCUUCAACACUUGGUGUGUAUCGUAGUUGGGUGACAGCAGAUUGCGCAGUGGGCUCUCAGCGGUGUGAAAAUCCGGCAGAAGAAAUCACCUGAUCAUAUAUUUGAUUAUACUUCUGAUUGCUUAAUCUCCACUACUAUUAAACAAUCGAACAAGAACUUUCUUAUAUACACCCUGCAAAAUAUACACUGACACAUCACCACCACAGGAUGAAGCCCACGACCCAAUCUAACAGCCAUCAUUAAUUUAUUCGAGAUCUGGUGUGCGCUUAGCAGUUUACAUGGACUGACCGUACUCCACCACAUGAAAACAUGAAACUCUCCAUCCAACCUCCGCAGCCCCUCAAAUUACGCUAAUCUAACCAUCUAAUCAAUUUGAAAAAAAGGAAACUAAACCUAAUCAUCUCCCUCGCCGCUCUCCCUGUCUUUCCUCGCCACCGCCCCAGACGAAGCUCAACAGCCCCCGUCGCCUCCCUGCAUGUCGGCCUCGAUCCCUGCAUCGCAUCGUCGCCUCCCUGGAUGGUUCCCUCAAGGCCAUGCACCGCGUUGACACCUCCCUGCCGGCUCCCUUGCCACCCUGCACCGCAUCGUCGAGUGGGUGGCCGCUGCUCCUUUCACCUACAAUCAAAUAUUCAGAGAUUUGUCACGCUACAACAAGAUUAUUAUGCAGCAAUUUGCCUGAGUUUUGAAGCAGCAGACAGCCCCAUCAGAUCGGCCAGGUAUGAUUUCCACGGCCAAUGGAAACCCACCUGGUUGCCCAAUCAGAUCUGCCUGAGUCAUGGGCGCCCUGUGCGAUGACGACACUGUCGUAUGGUGGACGUUCGAGUACCCGACGGAUACCUGGUCACCGGGAAGGACUUCGUGCCUGCGGCGUAGCUCUUCUCUAGCGUUUCUGAUACCAACAAGGCCGACGGGAAGUAUCGGCUCGCCAACCAGCAACAGGACGAUAAAACCUGGUGGCGCGAGGGCGAAACCUGUUCCCGCUGCUCCCGGAGGCGUUCAAGGGUGUUGAGCAGAUCAGCGUGAUCAGAUAUGGUCUCCAGGUUCAGUCCCAGCUUUGCUUUGCUCCCUCACUGCAGAAUUUCUCUUCUAUCUAUCGAGAUUUACCAUGCAUGUCUACUCUAUUGGCAUUCUACUGAAUACUAUUCUUGGAUAAACACAUUAAUCAGUGUGGUUAGAUGGAGUGACCGAUUUCACAAAAAAAUGUCAUGUUAUGCUACUUGGGUUCACAGUCUACAGGUGUGUUGGCUCUAACAGAGUUUUCUCAUGGUGUUUUUGUAUAGUUCGGAGGCCCAGAACCUGAGAGACUCUCCGGUUAACCCUACUGUGCGGAGCGGUGAUUGAACUGGGCCCGGAACCUGAGGAAACAAAUAUUGUAGUAUGUUCAUGAUUAUAUAUGCACAAUAUCGUACUGGUGUUCCUACCAUUGGAUAGUUCUUGUGUACUAUGUUUGAGAAUUUUUUCUAUUAGCACCAAGGAAAAAGCGGCACUAUGGGUUACUACUUACAUAAUAGAGGGAAACAUGCAACCAACCUGUGAGGCCACUUAAUGUGUCACAGAAGGAAUCAAACCUGAAAAGCACCACGUUGAAGAUUUUUAGAAUCCCAAAAAGCUAACAGAAUAAAAGAUACGGGGCUUUUAAAAUCUAGAGGGGGGAAAAUGGGGAAAAAAAUUCAAACUUAGUAAUGGCGCACCAUUUGCUAGGUGCGUCACUAGUAACAGAAAAAAAUGAUUUUGAAUUUUUUUUUGGAAAAAAUGUUCAAAAUAUGAUACGUAAUAUGACCGGGAUGUUUAAAAUAUUUUUUCAAAAGUUCAUCACACUCAUGAACAUGAACAAAGUCCUAGACAUCAACAAGGUUUAAUAGGAUUGAUAUGAUAGAUAUAUUAACAAGUGCCUGUUAAAUGAGCUGGUGCUGGAGUUGGAUAAAACUGAGAAGUUAAGCGUGCUGGGGCUAGAGUAGUGUGAGGAUGGGUGAUCUUCCGAGAAGUUUGACCAUGGAGUAUGAUUUGACUUGAGAUUAAGCAUAUUGACCCGAGAUUAAGCCAUAGUGACCCGAGAUUAAGAAAAAAACGAAAAAAUAAUUCUGCAAAAAAUUUGAAAAAAAAUUCUGAAAAAAAAUUCUGAAAAAAAAUUGAAAUCUUUUUGUUAGUAAUGGCGCACUUCUAUGUGGUGCGCCAUUACUAAGUCAGAUAGUAAUGGCGCACUUCUAAGCAUAUUAAUGGCGCAUUAUAGGUGCGCCAAUACUAUCUGUGAUAGUAAUGGUGCACCAAAUGUGCGCCAUUACCAACAAUUACUAAUGGCGUGCUAGUAAUGGCGCACUUAUAGUGCGUCAUUAAUAGCCAAAAUAGGUGUGCCAUUAAUAGCCUAUUUUCUAGUAGUGCAAGUAGUAGAAC
rnacentral:rRNA from 1 species